UUGCUAUUCUAGCGGCUUCUUUCAUCUCAGCUUCACUAGCAUUGUGCCUUGCAUAGAUUAUGUUUUCCCUAAUGGUGGUUGAAAAGAUAAUUGGUUCCUGCUGAACAAGUCCUAAAUGGUUCCUCAACCAUCGUAAAUUGUAUGACUUUAAAUCACGGCCAUCAAGUAAAACCUGACCAGCAACAGGGUCAUAAAACCUCUCUAUCAAAGAUAUAAUUGUGCUCUUUCCGGAGCCGGAAACACCCACCACAGCUACAGUCUGCCCUCCGUUGACUUUUAGAGUGAAAUUACUCAGUACCAGGACUUCUGGUCGAGAUGGAUAUGAGAAAUCAAUGUUUUUCAACUCAAUACUUCCAUAG
rnacentral:misc_RNA from 1 species